rnacentral:miRNA from 1 species
CCUGGACUCCCUUUGUAGACCUGGCUGGUCUUUAACUCACAGAGAUCUGCCUGUCUUUGCCUCCUGAGUACUGGGAU